UUUUUUUUUGUUAGUUUCUUUUCUGUUUUUGUCUUUGUUUCCUAUUGUUUUAGUUUUUUGUAAAAUAUAUACUUGGCAUCUAAUUUAGUAAUUCAAUUUAGGCCAUUGUCACAAAAAGUCUAGUCCUCAAAUAAUUUAGUUUGACAUUUUAUUAAUUACAAAAGGUAUUUAAAUAAUUAUUUAUGCUGUUGUUUUAUUCAUCUGAUAGUAUUUAAACAUUUUAUAAAGGUGUGGUUUCUCCACCAUAAUUACCUAUGCAAUAUUUGGUUCACUCCGGACAUUUUAGUUUUAAUAUUCGAAAACUUUUAUUGUUUGACUUGAUUUCGAAUUUUGAAUUCGAACGGGAUUUGAACCAGAGUGAGUUUAGUAACAAUAACAGUGGUGAUGUGGCAUCAUUGAGGGUUACGGUAGCUUAAUUAUCCGGGCAUCACAAUUCUCCUCCACUACAAGAAAUCUCGUCCUAAGAUUUAGGAGGCGGAGUAAGGGGGAAGAUCUGGUUACGAAUUCUAACGAGUCUUCUUGGUCUUGGUUACUCUUCUCGAAGAGGUCAAUUCAUUACGUUGAUGUCUUCAUUUCUCUGCUUCGGGAACUCCAUCGUACUUACGAAAGAAUAAAGGGUGGGUAGCCCGGGAGAACGGACCUCUACAAGGUUGACUAUCUGGUCGAUAACAUCGGGGGAAGGUGGAAAGUAACUCUCGAAUUGAAACUUAAGAAAAUAUCAAUAGUAAAUAAAGGAGGUAUCGUGGGAAGUUUCGAGCGGGCAGGCAAUCGCCCAAUGCCUGAAACAGAGUGUGAAAGGGGUUCAAAGCAAUCGGAAUAAGUAUUAUGUCUGAUGCCAAUAUAGAUCAGUAGGACGGUGGUCCGUGAAUUACAUAUGAGGCCACGCGCGAUGAAUAAAUUUGGGAACAGGGGGUGCACAGGAGAGUCAGGUUUUGAUCCUAUGGAACUGUGGGUUAUGGGCCCACCAUGUGGUUAAAGUAGGAAGGGCGGUGACAUCUUGCACGAUCAUGAUAGCAAGGCAUGUCAGAGGGUAGCCUGUCAGUUAUAUGUCAGCAACAUCGUCGGUACCAAGGGCGAGGGACGAAGAGAACCAUUUUCCUGCUCGUUGAAACGAGGCGGACCAAUAGGCAAGGUUCUCGUCCAUCGGUGGUUACCGGAAUGUCAUCAACAAUAGUAAGAGGGUCUUACUGACAGAGUUGUACACCGAGAUGUUUGCACAAGCAGGGAAUUAUUACUGCUUAUAUCAUAUAGAUCAUAGAAACGGUUUAAACAAACCAAUGGAAAGGGAAAAGUGUCUAUCAGAUUUAAUCAGAACAAUGGAAAGAAAAAUGUGUUUAAACACAUAAUUCAGGGGUAUAUCCUUCCCAAGGACAAGCAGAGCAUGAUAUCCAUGACAAGGUAUAACGUAGAAAACCAUUUAGGUUAGGGGAGAGGAAGUUCAUGACAUUACCCAUACAAUGAUGUUUGGAUAAUUUGAUAAAGAAAAUCUAGCAUUUGUGCUUCAAAUGUUCAUAUUGAAGAUCGGAGUACCACAUACAUGCUUCGAGAUAGCAUUGACAUGGUUUUCAAGCAAAGGUCAGACUCUCGAUACACAAAGGAUUCAUCAGGAACAACUGGUAGAAUAAGUCUUACAAUUUCCUCAUGGAAGAAUGGAUAACCUUGCCAAAAGCAAGCUAUAACAAUAGGCCCUCCGGCCAGGUGUACUCGGCAUGACACCACCUUACCGGGUCAUAUAACGAACAAUGUUAUAACUCUUGAAAUUAUGUUCCAACCAUCAUAUCUGACCGAGAUUCAGAUCUGGUUGGUGUCAGGAUUGUUGGAAAUAUGCCCUAGAGGCAAUAAUAAAUGGUUAUUAUUAUAUUUCUUUGUUCAUGGUAAUUGUCUAUUGUUCAUGCUAUAUUGUAUUGUCCGGAAAUCGUAAUACAUGUGUGAAUACAUAGACCACAACGUGUCCCUAGUAAGCCUCUAGUUGACUAGCUCGUUGAUCAACAGAUAGUCAUGGUUUCCUGACUAUGGACAUUGGAUGUCAUUGAUAACGGGAUCACAUCAUUAGGAGAAUGAUGUGAUGGACAAGACCCAAUCCUAAGCAUAGCAUAAAAGAUCGUGUAGUUUCGUUUGCUAGAGCUUUUCCAAUGUCAAGUAUCUUUUCCUUAGACCAUGAGAUCGUGCAACUCCUGGAUACCGUAGGAGUACUUUGGGUGUGCCAAACGUCACAACGUAACUGGGUGACUAUAAAGGUGCACUACGGGUAUCUCCGAAAGUGUCUGUUGGGUUGGCACGGAUCGAGACUGGGAUUUGUCACUCCGUGUGACGGAGAGGUAUCUUUGGGCCCACUCGGUAAUGCAUCAUCAUAAUGAGCUCAAUGUGACUAAGGCGUUAGUCACGGGAUCAUGCAUUGCGGUAUGAGUAAAGAGACUUGCCGGUAACGAGAUUGAACAAGGUAUUGGGAUACCGACGAUCGAAUCUCGGGCAAGUAACAUACCGAUUGACAAAGGGAAUUGCAUACGGGAUUGAUUGAAUCCUCGACACCGUGGUUCAUCUGAUGAGAUCAUCGUGGAACAUGUGGGAGCCAACAUGGGUAUCCAGAUCCCGCUGUUGGUUAUUGACCGGAGAGGCGUCUCGGUCAUGUCUGCAUGUCUCCCGAACCCGUAGGGUCUACACACCUAAGGUUCGGUGACGCUAGGGUUGUAGAGAUAUGUGUAUGCGGAAACCCGAAAGUUGUUCGGAGUCCCGGAUGAGAUCCCGGACGUCACGAGAGGUUCCGGAAUGGUCCGGAGGUGAAGAAUUAUAUAUAGGAAGUCAAGUUUCGGCCACCGGGAAAGUUUCGGGGGUUACCGGUAUUGUACCGGGACCACCGGAAGGGUCCCGGGGGUCCACCGGGUGGGGCCUGUUGGAAAUAUGCCCUAGAGGCAAUAAUAAAUAGGUUAUUAUUAUAUUUCCUUGUUCAUGAUAAUCGUUUAUUAUCCAUGCUAGAAUUGUAUUGAUAGGAAACUCAGAUACAUGUGUGGAUACAUAGACAACACCAUGUCCCUAGUAAGCCUCUAGUUGACUGGCUCGUUGAUCAAUAGAUGGUUACGGUUUCCUGACCAUGGACAUUGGAUGUCGUUGAUAACGGGAUCACAUCAUUAGGAGAAUGAUGUGAUGGACAAGACCCAAUCCUAAGCCUAGCACAAGAUCGUGUAGUUCGUUUGCUCAGAGCUUUUCUAAUGUCAAGUAUCACUUCCUUAGACCAUGAGAUUGUGCAACUCCCGGAUACCGUAGGAAUGCUUUGGGUGUGCCAAACGUCACAACGUAACUGGGUGGCUAUAAAGGUGCACUACGGGUAUCUCCGAAAGUGUCUGUUGGGUUGGCACGAAUCGAGACUGGGAUUUGUCACUCUGUGUAAACGGAGAGGUAUCUCUGGGCCCACUCGGUAGGACAUCAUCAUUAUGUGCACAAUGUGACCAAGGAGUUGAUCACGGGAUGAUGUGAGUUACGGAACGAGUAAAGAGACUUGCCGAUAACGAGAUUGAACAAGGUAUAGGGAUACCGACGAUCGAAUCUCGGGCAAGUAACAUACCGAUGGACAAAGGGAAUUGCAUACGGGAUUGAUUGAAUCCCCGACAUCGUGGUUCAUCCGAUGAGAUCAUCGUGGAACAUGUGGGAGCCAACAUGGGUAUCCAGAUCCCGCUGUUGGUUAUUGACCGGAGAACGUCUCGGUCAUGUCUGCAUGGUUCCCGAACCCGUAGGGUCUACACGCUUAAGGUUCGAUGACGCUAGGGUUAUAGGGAAAGUAUGUACGUGGUUACCGAAUGUUGUUCGGAGUCCCGGAUGAGAUCCCGGACGUCACGAGGAGUUCCGGAAUGGUCCGGAGGUAAAGAUUUAUAUAUGGGAAGUCCUGUUUUGGUCACCGGAAAAGUUUCGGGUGAAAUCGGUAAUGUACCGGGACCACCGGGAGGGUCCCGGGGGUCCACCAAGUGGGGCCACCAGCCUCAGAAGGCUGCGUGGGCCAAGUGUGGGAGGGGACCAGCCCCAGGUGGGCUGGUGCGCCCCCCACCAAGGCCCAAGGCGCAUGGGAGAGUGGGAGGGGGCAAACCCUAGGUCCAGAUGGGCCUUAGGGCCCAUCUAGUGGGGCGCCCCCCCCCUCUCCUCCCCUUGGCCGCCCCCCUUGAUGGGAUCUAGGGCUGGCCUCCUCCUCUUGGGGGUGGAAACCCUAAAGGGGGCGCAGCCCCCUUCCCCCCUAUAUAUACUUGAGGUUUGGGCUGCCAUACAGACAGGAGAACGUCUCUCUUUCGGCGCAGCCAUACCCCUCUCCCUCCUCCUCCACUCCCGCGGUGCUUGGCGAAGCCCUGCGGGAUUGCCACGCUCCUCCACCACCACCAUGCCGUCGUGUUGCUGCUGGAUGGAGUCUUCCCCAACCUCUCCCUCUCUCCUUGCUGGAUCAAGGCGUGGGAGACGUCACCGGGCUGCACGUGUGUUGAACGCGGAGGCAUCGUUCUUUCGGUGCUUAUAUCGGAAUCAACCGCGAUCUGAAUCGCUACGAGUACGACUCCCUCAUCCGCGUUCUUGCAACGCUUCCGCAUCGCGAUCUACAAGGGUAUGUAGAUUCACUCCCCUUCCCCUCGUUGCUAGAUUACUCCAUAGAUUGAUCUUGGUGAUGCGUAGAAAAUUUUGAAUUUCUGCUACGUUCCCCAACAGGGCCACCUAUCCCGGAGGGCCCCAUGGGCUGAAGUGGGAAGGGAACCAGCCCCUAGUGGGCUGGGCGCCCCCCCAUGGGCCUCCUCCCAUGCGCCUAGGGUUGGGAACCCUAGGGUGGGGGGGCUUCCCACUUGCCUUGGGGGGCAAGGCACCCCCUUGGCCGCCGCCCCCCACCCUAGAUGGGAUCUGGCCGGCGCCCCCCCCUCCCAGGGGGCCUAUAUAAAGGGGGGGAGGGAGGGCAGCAAUAGAACAGCCUUGGGCGCCUCCCUCCUCCCCUGCAACACCUCUCCCUCUCGCAGAAGCUCGGCGAAGCCCUGCCGAGACCCGCUACAUCCACCACCACGCCGUCGUGCUGCUGGAUCUCCAUCAAUCUCUCCUUCCCCUUGCUGGAUCAAGAAGGAGGAGACGUCGCUGCACCGUACGUGUGUUGAACGCGGAGGUGUCGUCCGUUCGGCACUCGGUCAUCGGUGAUUUGGAUCACGGCGAGUACGACUCCGUCAUCCACGUUCAUUGGAACGCUUCCGCUCGCGAUCUACAAGGGUAUGUAGAUGCACUCCUUUCCCCUCGUUGCUAGUAUACUCCAUAGAUGCAUCUUGGUGAGCGUAGGAAAAUUUUAAAAUUAUGCUACGAAUCCCAACAGUGGCAUCAUGAGCCAGGCCUAUGCGUAGUUACUAUGCACGAGUAGAACACAAAGAAGUUGUGGGCGUUGAUGUUGCCAAUUCCUCUUGCCGCUACUAGUCGUUUCUUGUUUCGGCGGCAUUGUAGGAUGAAGCGGCCCGGACCGACCUUACACGUACGCUUACGUGAGACAGGUUCCACUGACUGACAUGCACUAGUUGCAUAAGGUGGCUAGCGGGUGUCUGUCUCUCCUACUUUAGUCGGAACGGAUUCGAUGAAAAGGGUCCUUAUGAAGGGUAAAUAGAAAUUGGCAAAUCACGUUGUGGUCAUACGUAGGUAAGAAAACGUUGUUGCUAGAAACCUACAAACCACGUAAAAACUUGCAACAACAAUUAGAGGACGUCUAACUUGUUUUUGCAGCAAGUGCUAUGUGAUGUGAUAUGGCCAGAAGAUGUGAUGAAUGAUAUAUGUGAUGUAUGAGAUUGAUCAUAUUCUUGUAAUAGGAAUCACGACUUGCAUGUCGAUGAGUAUGACAACCGGCAGGAGCCAUAGAAGUUGUCUUUAUUAUUUUGUAUGACCUGUGUGUCAUUGAAUAACGCCAUGUAAAUUACUUUACUUUGUUGCUAAACGCGUUAGCCAUAGAAGUAGAAGUAAUCGUUGGUGUGACGACUUCAUGAAGACACAAUGAUGGAGAUCAUGAUGAUGGAGAUCAUGGUGUCAUGCCGGUGACGAAGAUGAUCAUGGUGCCCCGUAGAUGGAGAUCAAAGGAGCAUGAUGAUAUUGGCCAUAUCAUGUCACUAUUUGAUUGCAUGUGAUGUUUAUCAUGUUUUUGCAUCUUAUUUGCUUGGAAUGACGGUAGUAAGUGAGAUGAUCCCUUAUAAUAAUUUCAAGAAAAUGUUCACCCUAACUGUGCACCGUUGCGAAGGUUCGUUGUUUCGAAGCACCACGUGAUGAUCGGGUGUGAUAGAUUCUAACGUUCGAAUACAACGGGUGUUGACGAGCCUAGCAUGUACAGACAUGGCCUCGGAACACACGCAAUACACUUAGGUUGACUUGACGAUCCUAGCAUGUACAUACAUGGCCUCGGAACACGGAGGACCGAAAGGUCGAGCAUGAGUCGUAUAGAAGAUACGAUCAACAUGGAGAUGUUCACCGAUCUUGACUAGUCCGUCUCACGUGAUGAUCGGACACGGCCUAGUUAACUCGGAUCAUGUUUCACUUAGAUGACUAGAGGGAUGUCUAUCUGAGUGGGAGUUCAUUAAAUAAUUUGAUUAGAUGAACUUAAUUAUCAUGAACUUAGUCUAAAAUGUUUACACUAUGUCUUGUAGAUCAAAUGGCCAACGUUGUCCUCAAUUUCAACGCGUUCCUAGAGAAAACCAAGCUGAAAGAUGAUGGCAGCAACUAUACGGACUGGGUCUGGAACCUGAGGCUCAUCCUCAUAGUAGCCAAGAAAGAUUAUGUCUUAGAAGCACCGCUAGGUGAUGCACCAUUCCCAGAGAACCAAGACGUUAUGAACGCUUGGCAGCAGCGUGCUGAUGAUUACUCCCUCGUUCAGUGCGGCAUGCUUUACAGCCUAGAACCGGGUCUCCAAAAUUAUUUUGAGAAACAUGGAGCAUAUGAGAUGUUCGAGGAGCUGAAAUUGGUUUUCCAAGCUCAUGCCCGGGUCGAGAGAUAUGAUGUCUCCGAUAAGUUCUUCAGCUGUAAAAUGGAGGAGAACAGUUCUGUUAGUGAGCACAUACUCAGAAUGUCUGGGUUGCACAACUGCUUGACUCAGCUGGGUGUUAAUCUCCCGGAUGACGCGGUCAUUGACAGAAUCCUUCAGUCGCUUCCACCAAGCUUCAAGAGCUUUGUGAUGAACUACAAUAUGCAGGGGAUGGAAAAGACCAUUCCUGAGGUAUAUUCGAUGCUGAAAUCAGCGGAGGUGGAAAUCAGAAAAGAGCUUCAAGUGUUGAUGGUGAAUAAAACCACUAAGUUCAAGAAGGGCAAGGGUAAGAAGAACUUCAAGAAGGACGGCAAGGGAGUUGCCGUGCCCGGUAAGCCAGUUACUGGGAAGAAGUCAAAGAAUGGACCCAAGCCCGAGACUGAGUGCUUUUAUUGCAAGGGAAGUGGUCACUGGAAGCGGAACUGCCCCAAAUACUUAGCGGACAAGAAGAAGGCCGGCAACACCAAAGGUAUAUGUGAUAUACAUGUAAUUGAUGUGUACCUUACCAGUACUCGUAGUAGCUCCUGGGUAUUUGAUACCGGUGCGGUUGCUCAUAUUUGUAACUCAAAACAGGAACUACGGAAUAAACGGAGACUGGCGAAGGACGAGGUGACGAUGCGCGUCGGGAAUGGUUCCAAGGCCGAUGUGAUCACCGUCGGCACGCUACCUCUGCAUCUCCCUACGGGAUUAGUUUUAAACCUCAAUAAUUGUUAUUUAGUGCCAGCUUUGAGCAUGAACAUUGUAUCUGGAUCUCGUUUAAUUCGAGAUGGCUACUCAUUUAAAUCCGAGAAUAAUGGUUGUUCUAUUUAUUUGAGAGAUAUGUUUUAUGGUCAUGCCCCGCUGGUCAAUGGUUUGUUUUUGAUGAAUCUCGAACGUGAUGUUACACAUGUUCAUAGUGUGAAUACCAAAAGAUGUAAAGUUGAUAACGAUAGUCCCACAUACCUGUGGCACUGCCGCCUUGGUCACAUUGGUGUCAAGCGCAUGAAGAAGCUCCAUGCAGAUGGACUUUUGGAGUCUCUUGAUUACGAAUCAUUUGACACGUGCGAACCAUGCCUCAUGGGUAAGAUGACCAAGACUCCGUUCUACGGAACAAUGGAGCGAGCAACCAACUUAUUGGAAAUCAUACAUACCGAUGUGUGCGGUCCAAUGAGUGUUGAGGCUCGCGGAGGAUAUCGUUAUGUUCUCACUCUCACUGAUGACUUAAGUAGAUAUGGGUAUGUCUACCUAAUGAAACACAAGUCUGAAACCUUUGAAAAGUUCAAGGAAUUUCAGAGUGAGGUUGAGAAUCAACGUGACAGGAGAAUAAAAUUCUUACGAUCAGAUCGUGGUUGAGAAUAUUUAAGUCACGAGUUUGGUGCACACUUAAGGAAAUGUGGAAUAGUUUCACAACUCACGCCGCCUGGAACACCUCAGAGAAAUGGUGUGUCCGAAUGUCGUAAUCGCACUCUAUUGGAUAUGGUGCGAUCUAUGAUGUCUCUUACCGAUUUACCGCUCUCAUUUUGGGGUUAUGCUUUAGAGACUGCCGCAUUCACUUUAAAUAGGGCUCCGUCGAAAUCCGUUGAGACGACACCGUAUGAAUUAUGGUUUGGGAAGAAACCUAAGAUGUCGUUUCUAAAAGUUUGGGGAUGCGAUGCUUAUGUCAAGAAACUUCAACCUGAAAAGCUCGAACCCAAAUCGGAAAAAUGCGUCUUCAUAGGAUACCCUAAGGAAACCAUUGGGUAUACCUUCUACCUCAGAUCCGAAGGCAAGAUCUUCGUUGCCAAGAACGGGUCCUUUCUGGAGAAGGAGUUUCUCUCGAAAGAAUUGAGUGGGAGGAAAGUGGAACUUGAUGAGGUGAUAGUCACCCCUUCCGAACCGGAAAGUAGCGCAGCGCGGGAAAAUGUUCCUGUGGUGCCUACACCGACUGGGGAGGAAGUUAAUGAUGAUGAUCAUGAAGCUUCAGAUCAAGUUACUGAACUUCGUAGGUCCACAAGGACACGUUCCGCACCAGAGUGGUACGGCAACCCUGUCCUGGAAAUCAUGUUGUUAGACAACGGUGAACCUUCGAACUAUGAAGAAGCGAUGGCGGGCCCGGAUUCCGACAAAUGGCUAGAAGCCAUGAAAUCCGAGAUAGAAUCCAUGUAUGAAAACAAAGUAUGGACUUUGACUGACUUGCCCGAUGAGCGGCGAGCCAUAGAAAACAAAUGGAUCUUUAAGAAGAAGACGGACGCGGAUGGUAUGUGACCAUCUACAAAGCUCGACUUGUCGCUAAGGGUUAUCGACAAGUUCAAGGGGUUGACUACGAUGAGACUUUCUCACCCGUAGCGAAGCUGAAGUCCGUCCGAAUCAUGUUAGCAAUUGCCGCAUACUAUGAUUAUGAGAUAUGGCAGAUGGACGUCAAAACGGCAUUCCUUAAUGGCUUCCUUAAGGAAGAGUUGUAUAUGAUGCAGCCGGAAGGUUUUGUCGAUCCUAAGAAUGCUAACAAAGUGUGCAAGCUCCAACGCUCAAUCUAUGGGCUGGUGCAAGCAUCUCGGAGUUGGAACAUUCGCUUUGAUGAGAUGAUCAAAGCGUUUGGGUUUACACAGACUUAUGGAGAAGCCUGUGUUUACAAGAAAGUGAGUGGGAGAUCUGUAGCAUUUCUCAUAUUAUAUGUGGAUGACAUACUAUUGAUGGGAAAUGAUAUAGAAUUCUUGGAAAGUAUAAAGGCCUAUUUGAAUAAGUGUUUUUCAAUGAAGGACCUUGGAGAAGCUGCUUAUAUAUUAGGCAUCAAGAUCUAUAGAGAUAGAUCAAGACGCCUCAUUGGUCUUUCACAGAGUACAUACCUUGAUAAGAUAUUGAAGAAGUUCAAUAUGGAUCAGUCCAAGAAGGGGUUCUUGCCUGUAUUGCAAGGUGUGCAAUUGAGCACGGCUCAAUUCCCGACCACGGCAGAAGAUAUAGGAAAGAUGAGUGUCAUCCCCUAUUGCUCGGCCAUAGGGUCUAUUAUGUAUGCCAUGCUGUGUACCAGACCUGAUGUAAACCUUGCCGUAAGUUUGGUAGGAAGGUACCAAAGUAAUCCCGGCAUGGAACACUGGACAGCGGUCAAGAAUAUCCUGAAGUACCUGAAGAGGACUAAGGAUAUGUUUCUCGUUUAUGGAGGUGACGAAGAGCUCGUCGUAAAGGGUUACGUCGACGCUAGCUUCGACACAGAUCUGGAUGACUCGAAGUCACAAACCGGAUACGUGUAUAUUUUGAAUGGAGGAGCAGUAAGCUGGUGCAGUUGCAAGCAAAGCGUCGUGGCGGGAUCUACAUGUGAAGCGGAGUACAUGGCAGCCUCGGAGGCAGCACAGGAAGCAGUCUGGAUGAAGGAGUUCAUUACCGACCUAGGGGUGAUUCCCAAUGCGUCGGGCCCGAUGACUCUCUUCUGUGACAACACUGGAGCCAUUGCCCUUGCGAAGGAGCCCAGGUUUCACAGGAAGACCAGGCAUAUCAAGCGUCGCUUCAACUCCAUUCGUGAAAGUGUUCCAAAUGGAGACAUAGAUAUUUGUAAAGUACAUACGGACCUGAAUGUAGCAGAUCCGUUGACUAAACCUCUCCCUAGAGCAAAACAUGAUCAACACCAGGACGCAAUGGGUGUUCGAUUCAUCACAAUGUAACUAGAUUAUUGACUCUAGUGCAAGUGGGAGACUGUUGGAAAUAUGCCCUAGAGGCAAUAAUAAAUGGUUAUUAUUAUAUCUCUUUGUUCAUGGUAAUUGUCUAUUGUUCAUGCUAUAUUGUAUUGUCCGAAAUCGUAAUACAUGUGUGAAUACAUAGACCACAACGUGUCCCUAGUAAGCCUCUAGUUUACUAGCUCGUUGAUCAACAGAUAGUCAUGGUUUCCUGACUAUGGACAUUGGAUGUCAUUGAUAACGGGAUCACAUCAUUAGGAGAAUGAUGUGAUGGACAAGACCCAAUCCUAAGCACAGCAUAAAAGAUCGUGUAGUUUCGUUUGCUAGAGCUUUUCCAAUGUCAAGUAUCUUUUCCUUAGACCAUGAGAUCGUGCAACUCCUGGAUACCGUAGGAGUACUUUGGGUGUGCCAAACGUCACAACGUAACUGGGUGAGUAUAAAGGUGCACUACGGGUAUCUCCGAAAGUGUCUGUUGGGUUGGCACGGAUCGAGACUGGGAUUUGUCACUCCGUGUGACGGAGAGGUAUCUUUGGGCCCACUCGGUAAUGCAUCAUCAUAAUGAGCUCAAUGUGACUAAGGCGUUAGUCACGGGAUCAUGCAUUGCGGUACGAGUAAAGAGACUUGCCGGUAACGAGAUUGAACAAGGUAUUGGGAUACCGACGAUCGAAUCUCGGGCAAGUAACAUACCGAUUGACAAAGGGAAUUGCAUACGGGAUUGAUUGAAUCCUCGACACCGUGGUUCAUCCGAUGAGAUCAUCGUGGAACAUGUGGGAGCCAACAUGGGUAUCCAGAUCCCGCUGUUGGUUAUUGACCGGAGAGGUGUCUCGGUCAUGUCUGCAUGUAUCCCGAACCCGUAGGGUCUACACACCUAAGGUUCGGUGACGCUAGGGUUGUAGAGAUAUGUGUAUGCGGAAACCCGAAAGUUGUUCGGAGUCCCGGAUGAGAUCCGGACGUCACGAGAGGUUCCGGAAUGGUCCGGAGGUGAAGAAUUAUAUAUAGGAAGUCAAGUUUCGGCCACCGGGAAAGUUUCGGGGGUUACCGGUAUUGUACCGGGACCACCGGAAGGGUCCCGGGGGUCCACCGGGUGGGGCCACCUAUCCCGGAGGGCCCCAUGGGCUGAAGUGGGAAGGGAACCAGCCCCUAGUGGGCUGGGCGCCCCCCCAUGCGCCUAGGGUUGGGAACCCUAGGGUGGGGGGGCUUCCCACUUGCCUUGGGGGGCAAGGCACCCCCUUGGCCGCCGCCCCCCACCCUAGAUGGGAUCUGGCCGGCGCCCCCCCCUCCCAGGGGGCCUAUAUAAAGGGGGGAGGGAGGGUAGCAAUAGAACAGCCUUGGGCGCCUCCCUCCUCCCCUGCAACACCUCUCCCUCUCGCAGAAGCUCGGCGAAGCCCUGCCGAGACCCGCUACAUCCACCACCACGCCGUCGUGCUGCUGGAUCUCCAUCAAUCUCUCCUUCCCCUUGCUGGAUCAAGAAGGAGGAGACGUCGCUGCACCGUACGUGUGUUGAACGUGGAGGUGCCAUCCGUUCGGCACUCGGUCAUCGGUGAUUUGGAUCACGGCGAGUACGACUCCGUCAUCCACGUUCAUUGGAACGCUUCCGCUCGCGAUCUACAAGGGUAUGUAGAUGCACUCCUUUCCCCUCGUUGCUAGUAUACUCCAUAGAUGCAUCUUGGUGAGCGUAAGAAAAUUUUAAAAUUAUGCUACGAAUCCCAACAAGGAUAACUCAGACUCAGGAUGCCUGAGAAGAAAGGUGCAACACAAAUCGACGAAAUGACAUUGCAAGAUUCUCGGGAAAUGAACUAUGGGAGCGUGUUCCUGAAGCAAUAGUUCAUCAUUAAACCAAGGAGAGGAUGAGGAGGUGGCUGAUGAACUUAGCGACAAUUCAUCGAGAUUUCCAAAAAGAUGUAUUUCCACAAUUAUGUGAACAAAGAGAUAACAUUUGUCAAAUCAAAUGAUAUAAUUAUGUAUGCUCGAGUAAAUUAUACACCAUUAAACAUUGGUUGAAAGGUGCACCCGAAAUAUGGGCUAGGUAGCACGAUCAAUGUUCGAAUGAGGAUUCAUUAAGCCAUAGACGUAGAAUGAAACUGUAGACCAAUAACUUCAAAGCAAUUGGGUUGCUAGAAGUUUAGAAUUUACACAUCACAGACCAUUUGUCGGUAUUUCAUUGAGAAACAACACGGGGACCAAGAAAGAAUGGUGAUGGUGAGAAGUAUCAUUGUACCAAGAAUUCUUAAGAGGUGGAGUAAUGCUCACGACAUUCUUGACAUCAAAGAUGGUAAUACACCACAGUAGAACAUAACAUAGGUUGGAUAGUAGGGAAAUCAAGAUACAACACAAAAUAUGAACAAGUUUGUGUUGGGGGGAGGCAAGAAUGUUGUCGAUGAUAACACAAUUCAUCGAGGGGCAAGGAUGGUAUUUCUCAUCCUGAAUUUUGACACACAACUUGGAAGAAGUCAAAUUGUUGACAAUGACCACGACAAAUUUGUCGAGAGGUUUUCAAGAAGAUGUAAUUGAUCGACGAUGACAUCAAGUCAAAGGAAUGAUGAAAGCGAAAGGUUAUUGGAACCACGGGUAGGACACAAACUCGAAAUCAAGUUUGCUGUUCAAGGAGAAGUGAUAUGACGAGGAAGAUCGACGCAAGAUUAGCUCACUGUCGAAAUUUGUGCGCUGGGAAGGUCCAGGUAGCACAGUUAAAAUCGGCACGAUAAUGACAUAGCCAAGCAGGCUAGGAAUGACUUGAAGGAUUAUUAAACUCGUAAGCAACAAAAAUUACUUAGAGUUAUUGAAUCGGAGUGCGGAAUUGAUUCACUUUUCGGUGUCCUUGAGGGGUUCUAACAACUCAGAACUCGUUGGAAAAAUGGAAUCGGCAAGAAUAUUAGUUGAUGAAGAACUCAUAAGAAGUUAAGUAGUUCCUUGGCAUUCUCGAGAUACCAGGGGGUAAUACUCGACGACAGACCAAAGUACAGGUUGGACGGGGUAUUGCUCUGCAGAGGACAAGUGCUUAAACUUGCACGAGAAAUGGUAUUUAAAGGAGAACAUGGUCGGAACCACGAUUGCAAAAGGAUCAAUACACAGAUACUAGACGAUAUCAUAUCAAGGAAAUAGUUAUUAUUACAAGAAGCUUCUAUGAUAGGAUCUACAUCGUGUCCAUGGGCAUGAACACAAAGUUCAAGGUCGACUCCCACUUCUCCAAUGCAUACCCUUUCAUUCACUUCUCAUUUUUCGAAGAAGUUGUAAUGUUUAAAUUUUAUCUAGCAAAACUCUAGAAGAGUAUGACUCGUGAUAGCUCUCGGGUUUACCCGGAUCUGGAAAGGCAUAGGUUCAACCCUUAGGGUCAUAUUGGGAACAUAUACCACAAGCUUCAAUAGUAAAUAACACAAGCUCGAUAGUAGAGCAUGGGUGACAAAAGGAGAGGAUACAAUUUACCGAAGGCAUUAUGUAUGAGGGAAGAACUUCUCAAGGUGAUUGAAUAUGAAGGGCACUGUCGGAUAAAAAUCCAACAAUGGAUCGGGCGAUCCACAACAGAGCUGAUGUGAGUAUCGGUACUCAAUCAGAGGAAGAAAGAAUGCAAAGGCAUCAGAUUAUGGGAAUAACUAACUAAUUCAAAUCUCAAAUGCAAAGGAAUUGCCAAAUCAAGAGAUCAGAAGCAAACACUCUGAUUGAGGAUGGAUAAGUUGAGUAAACUUAUGGGUACAACGGACGGCUAUUCGGUUGGUCGAGAACCAGUUCAUGUUUAAAAUGACGUCUGAUCCGGAAGGAUGAAUUCUAGGAUCUGAUUGAGGAUUGCGAGCAUUCGCAACAAAUUGAAUCAACGGACUCAAAAUGAUAAUGACAAGAGAUGUCAAUAAGAUUGUAGACUUAUGGGAUUAACCAUACUGCAAGCAAGUAAGAAUUUCAAGAGCAAUAGGCUACUCAGGAUUUUCGGAAGUUCAAAUAGUAUUUUUAAGACUUUUGUCAAAUACAUGAAUCAACUGGGGAUGAGCAAAUAUCCGGUGAGUGCUAGAAAUUAGUCACCACAUGCAAGGCAGUAGGCAAAAAGGAUUCUCGAAACAACGACGAGUAUUUCGGGGUAUCUUGUAAUAACAAGACCAACUAGGGAUGAAUGUAAGAAUUACAACUGCAUGUAGUUAUCCAUAAGGGUUGACGGUGGAAGGGGAAUUGCAAACGUGAUGAACACAAGUUCUCGGGUUAACAGCGGGGAGUGUCUUCAGGGUCUUCACGUGCAGCAGACAAUCAUCACUAAUAAGGGGCUCUCCGGGUGAAAGUGAUAACGAGAUCCUAAUGUUAGAUUUAGCAAAAUUCACUUAACCCGAAUAGAAGAGAGAUCAGAGUCCCAGAGUAUAGAUCGAGAAGUAAAAGAUCCUAAUACCACCCAAAUGGCGACGUGGGCCCAUAAGCCACACAGCCAUGUUAGUAAAAGUUUUUCAAUGACUAGACUCGACUUUGGCCAAGGAGUGUGGAAGGGGGAUUCCUACAGGCAGUCGGCUCUGAUACCACCUUGUGACGCCCCCGAUUAAAUCGUACACUAAUCAUGCACGCAAAUGUGUACGAUCAAGAUCAGGGACUCACGGGAAGAUAUCACAACACAACUCUACAACAUAAAUAAGUCAUACAAGCAUCAUAAUACAAGCCAGGGGCCUCGAGGGCUUGAAAACAAGUGCUCGAUCAUAGACGAGUCAGCGGAAGCUACAAUAUCUGAGUAUAGACAUAAGUUAAACAAGUUUGCCUUAAGAAGGCUAACACAAAAGUAGCAACGAUCGAAAAGGCAAGGCCUCCUGCCUGGGACCUCCUAACUACUCCUCGAAGCCGAACUCCAUGUAGAAUCAUCCUCGGGAUCUCUAGCUCCUGGACUCUAGCAUCUGGUUGCGACAACCAGGUAUAGAAAGGGGAAAAGAGGGAGAAAAGCAACCGUGAGUACUCAUCCAAAGUACUCGCAAGCAAGGAGCUACACUACAAAUGCAUGGGUAUAUGUGUAAAGGGCCAUAUCGGUGGACUGAACUGCAGAAUGCCAGAAUAAGAGGGGGAUAGCUAAUCCUGUCGAAGACUACGCUUCAGGCCACCUCCAUCUUGCAGCAUGUAGAAGAGAGUAGAUGGUAAGUUCACCAAGUAGCAUCGCAUAGCAUAAUCCUACCCGGCGAUCCCCUCCUCGUCGCCCUGUUAGAGAGCGAUCACCGGGUUGUAUCUGGCACUUGGAAGGGUGUGUUUUAUUAAAUAUCCGGUUCUAGUUGUCAUAAGGUCAAGGUACAACUCCGGGUCGUCCUUUUACCGAGGGACGCGGCUAUUCGAAUAGAUAAACUUCCCUGCAGGGUGCACCACAUAACCCAACACGCUCGAUCCCAUUUGGCCGGACACACUUUUCUGGGUCAUGCCCGGCCGCGGAAGAUCAACACGUCGCAGCCCCACCAAGGCACAACAGAGAGGUCAGCACGCCGAUCUAAAUCCUCUGGCACAGGGGUCUGGGCCCAUCGCCCAUUGCACACCUGCACGUUGCGAGGGCGGCCGGAAGCAGACCUAGCCUAGCAGGCAUUCUAGUCCAAUCCGGCGCGCGCCGCUCCGUCGCUGACGUCACGAAGGCUUCGGCUGAUACCACGACGUCGAGUGCCCAUAACGGUUCCCGCGUAGUUGGUUAGUGCGUAUAGGCCAGUGCCAGACUCAGAUCAAAUACCAAGAUCUCGUUAAGCGUGUUAUUUUUAAGUAUCCGCGGACGCCGACCAGGGCCAGGCCCACCUCUCUCCUAGGUGGUCUCAACCUGCCAUGUCGCUCCGCCACAAAGUAACAGUCGGGGGCCGUCAGGAACCCAGGCCCACCUCUACCGGGAUGGAGCCACCUGUCCUUUCAGCCCCCUCAUCAGAAUCACUUGCGGGUACUCAACGAGCUGAUCCGACUUUAGUCACCACAUGUGUCAUGUAUAUAAAGUAUAAAGUAUAUACCCGUGAUCACCUCCCUAGUGAUCACGGCCCGAUAGUAUAGCAUGGCAGACAGACAAGAGUGUAGGGCCACUGAUGGAACACUAGCAUCCUAUACUAAGCAGUAGGAUAGCAGGUAAGGGUAACAACUGUAGCAACAAUGACAGGCUAUGCAGCAGAAUAGGAUUAACCGAAAGCAGUAACAUGCUACACUCUUCUAAUGCAAGCAAUAUAGAGAAGAAUAGGCGAUAUCUGGUGAUCAAGGGCGGGGCUUGCCUGGUUGCUCUGGCAAGAAGGGUUCGUCGUCGAUGUAGUCGAUCACAGGGGUACCAGCAGCGGUCUCGGGGUCUACCGGAAAGAAGUAACGGAGGGGGGACACAAUAAAUAACAGAGCAAUGAAAGCAUCACAAAGCAUAACAUGGCAAUACGCGGUGCUAGAGGUGAUCUAACGCGGCAGGAGGUGAUACCGGCAAAGAGGGGAAACAUCCGGGAAAGUAUUCCCGGUGUUUCGCGUUUUCGGACAGAUGAACCGGAGGGGGAAAGUUGUGUGUUCGAUAUGCUAGGGGUGUGUGGCGGACGAACGGGCUGCGUAUCUGGAUUCGUCUCGUCGUUCUGAGCAACUGUCAUGUACAAAGUAUUUUCAUCCGAGGUACGGUUUAUUUUAUAUUAAUUUUCAAAGUUUAAAAUCAUUUUUAGAAUUAACAGAAUUAAUUUAAUUCGAAACUGGAUUUAUGACAUCAGCAUGAUGUCAUGCUGACGUCAGCAGUCAACAGGGGUUGACUGGUCAACCUGACCAGUGGGUCCCACUGGUCAGUGACACAUUUUAAUUAAACAUAUUAAUUAACCUAAUCAGGAUUAAUUAGGGGUGGGCCCCACUGUCAUUGACUACUUAAUUAGCUAAUUAGGUUAAUUAGGUAACUAAUGUUUAAUUAGUUUAAUUGGUUGUUUAGUUUAAUUAAUUAAGUUAAUUAAUUAAUUAAUUUUAUUAUUAUUAUUUAUUUAUUUUUAUUUCUUUUUUUUAUAAACGUUCUCAGGGUUCCGGGCCCCGGCUGUCAGUGGCCAAUGGGCCACUGGAACGGGCGCGCUGGUUAACGGGCAUAGCCCGAACGGGCACAUGCCCGAGGGGCGCUGGGCACGCACGGCGCUCACCGGCGGCCAGGACCAGGGGAGACGACGGAGGGGUGGUCGCGAACCGGCUGGGCGGAGCGGGCGCAGGGGGGCGCGGCUGGAGGUGGUGGUGGCAGGGGGAGGCGCUCGGCGACGAGGCCAGGGGCGGAGCGGCGCGUGCGGGACGAAGGCGAUGGCCGGAGCGAGCAACUGCAGGGGAGNNNNNNNNNNNNNNNNNNNNNNNNNNNNNNNNNNNNNNNNNNNNNNNNNNNNNNNNNNNNNNNNNNNNNNNNNNNNNNNNNNNNNNNNNNNNNNNNNNNNNNNNNNNNNNNNNNNNNNNNNNNNNNNNNNNNNNNNNNNNNNNNNNNNNNNNNNNNNNNNNNNNNNNNNNNNNNNNNNNNNNNNNNNNNNNNNNNNNNNNNNNNNNNNNNNNNNNNNNNNNNNNNNNNNNNNNNNNNNNNNNNNNNNNNNNNNNNNNNNNNNNNNNNNNNNNNNNNNNNNNNNNNNNNNNNNNNNNNNNNNNNNNNNNNNNNNNNNNNNNNNNNNNNNNNNNNNNNNNNNNNNNNNNNNNNNNNNNNNNNNNNNNNNNNNNNNNNNNNNNNNNNNNNNNNNNNNNNNNNNNNNNNNNNNNNNNNNNNNNNNNNNNNNNNNNNNNNNNNNNNNNNNNNNNNNNNNNNNNNNNNNNNNNNNNNNNNNNNNNNNNNNNNNNNNNNNNNNNNNNNNNNNNNNNNNNNNNNNNNNNNNNNNNNNNNNNNNNNNNNNNNNNNNNNNNNNNNNNNNNNNNNNNNNNNNNNNNNNNNNNNNNNNNNNNNNNNNNNNNNNNNNNNNNNNNNNNNNNNNNNNNNNNNNNNNNNNNNNNNNNNNNNNNNNNNNNNNNNNNNNNGUGGCUCCGGCGGGGGUUCCGGGCGGCGGCGGCGUCGAGCACCCCCGAUCCCGAUCGGGGAGGAGCGAGAGAGAGAGGGGAUCGGGGAGAGUGGGUGGGGGUUCGGGUUAGGUUAGGGUUUGGCUGGGGGGUGAGGGGAUAAGGUGUGGCCGGCUGGGCCUGGUGGGUUGGCCCAGUGGGGUUGAUGGCCUGCUAGGCCGGAGCCCGGGGGGGUUCUUUUCCUUCUUCUUUUUUUUGUUAGUUUCUUUUCUGUUUUUGUCUUUGUUUCCUAUUGUUUUAAUUUUUUUGUAAAAUAUAUACUUGGCAUCUAAUUUAGUAAUUCAAUUUAGGCCAUUGUCACAAAAGUCUAGUCCUCAAAAUAAUUUAGUCUGACAUUUUAUUAAUUACAAAAGGUAUUUAAAUAAUUAUUUAUGCUGCUGUUUUAUUCAUCUGAUAGUAUUUAAACAUUUUAUAAAGGUGUGGUUUCUCCAUCAUAAUUACCUAUGCAAUAUUUGGUUCACUCCGGACAUUUUAGUUUUAAUAUUCGAAAACUUUUAUUGUUUGACUUGAUUUCGAAUUUUGAAUUCGAACGGGAUUUGAACCAGAGUGAGUUUAGUAACAAUAACAGUGGUGACGUGGCAUCAUUAGUAGAGGGUUACGGUAGCUUAAUUAUCCGGGCGUCACAGCUCAGCAAUGGGGGAGUGCCCAUUCCCCCGUUGCCCGACGCCGUGGCCAAACCAUCCUUCUUCGCCGACGAGGUCGAGAUCGUGCGCGCCUCCCUCACCGACGCCGAGCUCUCCCUCCCCCAGUACGCCGCCGACAACCACGCGGCUUGGGCGGCGUACUUCGAGCGCCGCCAGCAGCAGCGGCUGGCGUCCACCAACGGGGCGCCGGUGGUCGGCGGCGUGAAGAAUAGCGAGGGGCGCCACCUGUAGUGGGGCGCCCCCGGUCGCACACUUGAGGACGUGCUGACGCACCUCGAGGGCGGCAACAACCCGCCGUUGGCGUACCCCCCGGCGAGGGCGGACGCCCCGGCGCACCGCCGACGCGACGGGCAAUGGGCGCCAAGGAGGUUCGGCGCGUCCUCCUCCUCUUCCUCCUCCCGCUCCUCCUCCCACUCCUCCGGCACUCCGACGCUGCUCGGCGUCAAGGCCGAGCCCGGCAUCGUCAUCAACGAGGGCGGCCAGCGCGCCUCCUCGUCGGCUCCUCCUCCGCGCUUCGUCAAGCCAAAGACGGAGCCGGGGCUGGCGCCGGUGAAGACGGAGCACGGCGAGGUCGAGCUCGACGACGACGCGGCCCUUGAAUGGGCACGCCAGGACUCCAUCAAGAUGGCGACGGAGCGCCAGCGACGACGACGACGACGCGCCGCCGCCGCCACCAUCCGGGGAGGGGUCCAGCAGGGGCGCCCGAGUCAAGGAGGAGAAGGCCGACGAUGGCGGCGACGACGGCGACUUCUCGGCCUUCAGCAAGUUUUUUUAUUAGUUUUUAUAUGUAAUGGCGACUACUCGACUUAAAUCCGCGAAUAUAAGCCCAAGUUUGCCGAAAUUUGACGUGUUUUAGCCGAACUUUACGUAAAUUUGCUACACAAUUUAUUUUUUUCCCUGCGCCUGGGGCCGGCGGCUGGGGGCCAACUCGCCCCAGGCCCAUUUUUUUCGCCGGGUCAUCCCCAGGCGGCGAUUUUAGGCGCCCCUGGGGCCAACGGCUGAAGAUGCUCUCACAGGCCGAGUGCUAGACGCCACAGGCGGAGCCAUCGAGCGGCGAGGUGACGGGCAAAAGGAGGCUCAUCACGGUAGGAAAAUGGCCAGCCCAACAACCAUUAACAACCAAGAUCGGUCGAUUAGACAAGGUGAAAGUGAGUGAGGGAGGGAGGGGAGCUGGCAUAGGCAAGCAAAGCAAAGCGUUGGCAGCGAAAGCCUAGCUACCGCGUGCAAAUCACUGGGUGUUUUAAAUAAGCAAGCAAGCAAGCAUUACAACAGCUGGUGCUUAGGUACAGUACAGGCAUCAUCCAUGUGUUACUUUCCAAGAAUCAAACGCUUACAGUAGUGACUGACAUGUGCUAUAGAACAGAAUCAAAGCCCGUGAGAAAAAAGAAAAAAGGGGCCAAAAAGGAGAAGAAGAUGAAAGAAAAAAUGAAGACAUGCACAAGUUGCUGAUGAGCAAAGACAAGAUCCAUGCAAAGAACUAAGCAAUUUCCUUUCUUCCAACUGAUGAAGGGAUCAAUGCCGGUCGGUUAU
rnacentral:lncRNA from 1 species